GGAGGCGGUGAGCGCGGGCGGCGCGGACGGCAGCGGUUGGCGGGCGGGUCCUCCGCUGUUGGGGCCGCCGCGGCCUCCUUGCCCGGGCUUGGGGCGCCGCGCUGGGGAAAGCCGGGGGCCCGGACACAUUGGCGUCAGACCUGGGAGUACGUUGUGCCAAAUCAUUGCCACUUGCCACAUGAGUGUAAAUGAUGGCGGAUGCCAAGUAUGUCCUCUGCCGAUGGGAAAAGCGAUUAUGGCCUGCAAAGGUUUUGGCCCGAACCGCGACUUCAACAAAAAAUAAGAGAAGAAAGGAAUAUUUUCUAGCUGUGCAAAUCCUCUCCCUAGAGGAAAAAAUUAAGGUGAAAAGCACUGAAGUUGAGAUCCUAGAGAAGUCUCAAAUUGAAGCCAUUGCUUCCUCGUUAGCCUCACAGAAUGAGGUUCCUGCGGCACCCCUGGAAGAACUGGCCUACAGACGGUCGCUGCGCGUGGCUCUGGACGUUCUGAGCGAGGGCUCGAUUUGGAGUCAAGAAAGCUCUGCAGGGACAGGUAGAGCCGACCGGUCUCUGCGAGGGAAGCCCACGGAGCACGUCUCCUCGCCCUGUGAUUCGAACUCCUCAUCUCUUCCCCGUGGAGACGUGUUGGGCAGUUCCAGACCUCACAGGAGGAGGCCAUGUGUGCAACAAAGCCUGUCAAGUUCGUUCACUUGUGAAAAGGACCCCGAGUGCAAAGUGGACCACAAGAAGGGGCUCAGGAAAAGUGAAAACCCAAGAGGCCCGUUGGUCCUCCCAGCUGGAGGUGGUGCCCAGGAUGAGAGUGGGUCCAGAAUCCACCACAAAAAUUGGACUCUUGCAAGUAAGAGGGGAAGAAACUCAGCGCAGAAGGCUAGCUUGUGCCCGAAUGGAUCUUCCCUUUCAGAGGACGACACGGAGAGAGACAUGGGGAGCAAAGGAGGCAGCUGGGCAGCCCCGUCCUUGCCCUCCGGGGUCAGGGAGGACGAUCCCUGUGCCAACGCUGAGGGACACGACCCCGGUCUGCCGUUGGGCAGCCUCACUGCGCCCCCAGCCCCUGAGCCCUCGGCCUGCUCAGAGCCUGGAGAAUGCCCUGCGAAAAAGAGGCCGCGCCUGGAUGGCAGCCAGAGGCCGCCUGCCGUGCAGCUGGAGCCCAUGGCAGCAGGGGCCGCACCAUCCCCCGGGCCGGGGCCAGGGCCCAGAGAGUCUAUGACCCUGCGCAGCACCGCCAGGCUCGGCCCGCCUCCCUCCCACGCCUCUGCGGAUGCAACCAGAUGUCUUCCUUGCCCGGAUUCCCAGAAGCUGGAGAAAGAGUGCCAGUCUUCCGAAGAGUCCACGGGGUCUAAUUCCAUGCGUUCUAUCCUGGAGGAAGACGAGGAGGACGAGGAGCCACCAAGAGUCCUUUUAUACCACGAACCACGUUCGUUUGAAGUAGGAAUGCUAGUCUGGCAUAAAUAUAAAAAAUACCCCUUCUGGCCAGCAGUGGUCAAAAGCGUCAGGCAGAGAGAUAAGAAAGCAAGUGUGCUAUACAUCGAAGGACACAUGAACCCGAAAAUGAAAGGUUUCACAGUGUCUCUUAAAAGUUUAAAGCACUUUGAUUGUAAAGAGAAACAGACGCUUCUGAAUCAAGCCAGGGAGGACUUCAACCAGGCCAUCGGCUGGUGUGUCUCCCUCAUCACCGACUACAGGGUCCGGUUAGGCUGCGGGUCUUUUGCUGGCUCUUUCCUGGAAUAUUACGCGGCUGAUAUAAGCUAUCCUGUCCGAAAAUCCAUCCAGCAGGACGUCUUGGGGACCAAGUUUCCUCAACUGAGCAAGGGGAGCCCCGAGGAGCCCGUGGUGGGGUGCCCCCUGGGGCAGAGGCAGCCCUGCCGGAAAAUGCUCCCCGACCGCUCGCGGGCUGCCCGGGACCGGGCCAACCAGAAGCUGGUGGAGUACAUUGUGAAGGCCAAGGGCGCGGAGAGCCACCUGCGGGCCAUCCUAAAGAGCAGGAAGCCAUCUCGCUGGCUGCAGACCUUCCUGAGCUCCAGCCAGUACGUGACUUGUGUGGAGACCUACCUGGAGGAUGAGGGGCAGCUGGACGUGGUGGUGAAGUACCUGCAGGGCGUCUACCAGGAGGUGGGUGCCAAGGUGCUCCAGCGCACCAACGGCGACCGGAUCCGGUUCAUUCUGGACGUGCUUCUGCCCGAGGCCAUCAUCUGUGCGAUCUCUGCGGUGGACGAGGUGGACUACAAGACGGCUGAGGAGAAGUACAUCAAGGGGCCUUCGCUGAGCUACCGCCCCAUGGCUGUGUGAGAAAUACAGCAAGAUUAAGCAGCAGCACGGCCCGGUGCUUUCCAGCAGCCUGAAGAAUGCUGUGAUCAAGAUGUUUCUCUCACAUCCGUGUGCUUAGCCGCCCUUGGAUGUUUGGCCCCCAGAGCGCCUAAUCCUGUCUCUGGGCACGCGGCCAGGCCUUGCUGGGAGCCAGGCGGGGCCCACGGGGCAGUGACAGGCUGAAGACUCAACUAGAGUCAAGGACAGGGUCUCCGGCCAGGGUGGCUUGCGCAGCCACCGACGUCUCCCGGGCCCACAGUCACAGGAGACUCCUGGUGAAGACACUGAACUCCCUCACCAGCCCCAUGUCCUCCCUGGGCAGGGCAGGAGGGGCCCCUGGAGAGGCCAGGGAGGAGGUGUGGGGCCUCGGUGGCAUUGGCAGGCCACCCCCGCAGAGCUGCACAAAGGUGGAAUUUGGCCUUGUUUAGGGAGUGUUGGCCCAGCUGGCUUACCAAAACAGGAAAGGCCUUUGGAUACAGAAACUGGGUGUUUUCCUGCUGGAUCUUCAUGGUUCCCCCGUCAUGCUUGCCGGAAAAAGAAAUAUUUGACAACCAGCUCCUUGAAGAGCGGAACCGGCGCCGUUGGUGAGGGAGCAGCCGGCUGUGCUGUCAGCGGGGCCUGGCGGUGGAAGCGCCUCCAGUGUGCUUGAGCGUGUCUGAAGAUGGGGAACUCGGGGCACGUUUGCGUUUGGACCUGUCUGUGCUUUCUCCUGCGUGGCAGUCCUGAUUUCCAUACUUCUGGAAAAUCCAUUUCGUUAACACUGAAAGCCAGUUCUCUUUUCCUGGCAGUUUUGUUCAUUUUAUUUUUGGCAUUUUUUACAAGAUACCGUUCGGGAAAGGCUUUUGAAAGGACGGAAGCGUAUUCACUGUGCGCCAGUACUCCUGGCUGUGCUGUGGUUUCUCCCGACGUGCACAUUGAUCUCGUGUGUGUGGCAUCUGAUAUUAAACGGGAGGUUUUAAGAAGCGUCUGCCGUGAUCAUGGAGCUUCGGAAGCGGGAAUGGUUCUUCUGGGUUUGCUGUUUUGUCUGUUUCCCCCUUGUGUGGUUUCCGCCUGCGACAGUUCCAGAAUUUGCUCUCCCACUCAGUGUGCUCUGCAGCUGUGAGGAAACAGUCUUCGUUAGAGGCGGGAGCAGAGACGAGCCGCUGCUCUGUGUCGUGUUUGCUGUGGCCGCAGGGAGAGGAGCGGGACACGCACCUUUCCAGGGGCCUCUGUGCCCCGCACUGUGUGUGAGUGGACCGCAGCGUGCAGCCACAUGCCCUGGCUGCCAUGGGCCAGACCGCCUCCACCUCCCCCGCCCGCCUGGCCUGUCCUGAGUGCAUUUCCCUGCACUGUGUCGUCACUGCACGGCCAGUCACCGCGGUCUCAGUCAUCGGCGCGGAUGGCUAUGCUGGGGUCCCAGGGUGGCCGCAGCAGUCAGGGUCACUGUGGGAGCCCUGGGGUGGAGUGACAAACCGCAUUGUCCUGUGCCCGCCAUGGCAGAAGCGCAGCCUUUGUAUGGAGACCCAACCGCGCUCCCGUCUGGAGAAGCGGCUUCCGGGGUGUGGCUGCCAGGUCGGCUCUGGUCCACAGCAUGGUGCCGGGGCUGCAGGUUGUUGAAGGCUGUGACUCCGUGGGGCUCAGCCAGGCUCCAGCAGGGUCAGACGUGCUGUUAAGAGCAAAGCCACAGACGAUGACUUGUCCAUUCUCAGCGGAUGCUCCAGGCUGUGCCUACACAGCAGUGCUGGUGACAUGUCCAGGGUUCCAGGGCCCGGUGGCCUGGGAGCUGCUUUCUCCUCACUGGCUGGGCUGCAUCUGGCCCUGGCUGGAGACCUUGCUUUGAGGGGCUGUGACCCUCUUCCCCCAGGCCCUCUCCAGCCAACGACAGCCACCGGAGAGGAGAUCGGAACACGAUUGUCUCAGAUGCAGGGCGCUGUGCGGGACGAAGCCGCAAGGACUCUCGUAUCAGGCCCUUGGGACUCGGGAGGUGCCAGAGGCGGCGGCUGCUCUGGACCUCCGUGUUCACUGACCUUUGUUUCACUUGCCUCUGCUCGACUCCGAGAGCAGGAAACCCGGCCCUGGCCUGGCAGCUCCGCUUCCCAUGCCCGCACGCUGGGGUCUGUCUUGUCUGGAGCAGUGGGGCACACCCCGGAGGAGGCGGGGGUCAGGGGCGUCGGCCUUGGCCCCCUGCUGGUCGCUCUUUCGGGGACUCGGGGCGGCCAGUACCACCGCCUGAGGCGGGGCUCAGCAGCGUUGCAUGUACGGGCCUCGUACUGCCUCAUGGAAAAUCCUCCGGAGCCGCCCUCCAUUGUGGGUUCCUGAGAGUAGGACACAUUGCCAUGGUUUUGUGGGAAUCACGUGCCCCUGAUGGAACUUUUCUGCUGUUUUGAAGUACUUUUAUCCAUUUGCUUCUCUGCUGACCUUGCCAAGUUGUUCGAGGGGGAAUUAAACACCUCCCAGAC